GAUGAACGCUGGCGGCGUGCCUAAUACAUGCAAGUCGAGCGAACAGACGAGGAGCUUGCUCCUCUGACGUUAGCGGCGGACGGGUGAGUAACACGUGGAUAACCUACCUAUAAGACUAGGAUAACUUCGGGAAACCGGAGCUAAUACCGGAUAAUAUAUUGAACCGCAUGGUUCAAUAGUGAAAGACGGUUUUGCUGUCACUUAUAGAUGGAUCCGCGCCGCAUUAGCUAGUUGGUAAGGUAACGGCUUACCAAGGCGACGAUGCGUAGCCGACCUGAGAGGGUGAUCGGCCACACUGGAACUGAGACACGGUCCAGACUCCUACGGGAGGCAGCAGUAGGGAAUCUUCCGCAAUGGGCGAAAGCCUGACGGAGCAACGCCGCGUGAGUGAUGAAGGUCUUCGGAUCGUAAAACUCUGUUAUUAGGGAAGAACAAAUGUGUAAGUAACUAUGCACGUCUUGACGGUACCUAAUCAGAAAGCCACGGCUAACUACGUG
rnacentral:rRNA from 1 species